rnacentral:rRNA from 1 species
CAGAGGGUGCAAGCGUUAAUCGGAAUAACUGGGCGUAAAGGGCAUGCAGGCGGUUCAUCAAGUAGGAUGUGAAAUCCCCGGGCUCAACCUGGGAACAGCAUACUAAACUGGUGGACUAGAGUAUUGCAGGGGGAGACGGAAUUCCAGGUGUAGCGGUGGAAUGCGUAGAUAUCUGGAAGAACACCAAAGGCGAAGGCAGUCUCCUGGGCAAAUACUGACGCUCAUAUGCGAAAGCGUGGGUAGCAA